GUUUAGGGAGCGUUAACUGCGCAUGAACAAAUUGCUGCUUGCCUCAAGGUUAAGGCUCCGGUGGUGUAAUAAAGGAUCUGAGAAUUUAAUUCCUAGCUGAAUUGGUUCGAACGCGUUUCUGGGACUUUUACCCUCUGUUUUGUCUUCUAACGCUGGGUGAAGAAACUGUGCAACAUGCCCAGAUCAUACAACAAGGAAGUAAUGGAAUUGAGAUUCUAUCCUGGGCGCCAAGCCAUUGCUCUAAAUCUCUAUGCUGCACAAGAUACAGCUGAGUAAAGAUUAGUAACAACAAAAAAAAACAACAAAAAAAGACAAGUCCCAGGGAAGGUUCCUGUGAGUCUUUAUGAUCCACUGGCCAUAAAUUAGAGAGAGGCAAUGAAGACUAAAUGCGGAGAGAUCCAGUUUGCUUCCUAGUCUUAGUACAUUGCCAUCUAGGCAUGAGUAGUCUCCUUGUCUCCGUUGUCUGAGAAUGCUAUCCUCUGGCUCUGAGGUCCAGAGCCACUAAGAGAGAAUGCUGACUUGAUGUCAGAAAAUCAAGACAAGGUCUAGUUUAAUUAUGGAACAUGAAACAAAAACUUUACUCCUCUUUUGAAGUAAAAAUGCAAAUCUGUUCCGUUUUAGAGUGGGAUUUCCC
rnacentral:lncRNA from 10 species